GGCAGCCCGUCGCUUGGAGUCACGGCCGCGGCGUGGAUCGGUUGACCUCUAAAGCCUCAUGGUGCACGAAGAAGCCCAGAAGCGGAGGAGGAGUCAAGAAAAGCCAUCAGGGAUGGCUCUCUCUCAGGCUGAAAUGCGGUGGCACACUUACGGCGUACCAUAGCUUGACAUGCUGGGCUCAGAAGAUCCUUCUGCGUCAGCCUUCUAAGUAGCCGAA